GCAGUGGUGGUUCAGUGGUAGAAUUCUUGCCUUCCGUGAGAGAGACAUGGGUUCAAUUCCUGGCCAGUGCA
rnacentral:tRNA from 1 species